rnacentral:rRNA from 1 species
UGGGGAAUAUUGGGCAAUGGGCGAAAGCCUGACCCAGCGACGCCGCGUGGGGGAAGAAGUCUCUCGGGAUGUAAACCCUUGUUGUACGGGACGAAGGACGUGACGGUACCGUACGAGGAAGCCCCGGCAAACUACGUGCCAGCAGCCGCGGUAAUACGUAGGGGGCGAGCGUUGUCCGGAAUCACUGGGCGUAAAGCGCACGUAGGCGGGCUGUUAAGUCGGCCGUAAAAGGCACUGGCUCAACCGGUGGUUGUCGGUCGAUACUGGCGGUCUGGAGGAUGGGAGAGGGAACUGGAAUUCCCGGUGGAGCGGUGAAAUGCGUAGAUAUCGGGAGGAACACCAGUGGCGAAGGCGGGUUCCUGGCCCAUUACUGACGCUGAGGUGCGAAAGCCGGGGGAGCGAACGG